rnacentral:lncRNA from 1 species
AAGAAUGCCGUGUAACUCAUAGGGAUUUUUUUUUGUUUUUGUGAAAAAGGUUACUAGGAGGUAAGUAGUGUUCAGUUUGUAACACUUGCUUUGUGAAAAAAGGUAUGCUGGAAUGAUUGAUUGAGAGUGGAAUGGGAGCUUUGCUUGUCAUGAGCUCGAGUAAUAGAUUGCAUGAUGCUUCGAAAAUAUUUUUGUUUAUGCAUUCCGCUUGGCAUGAGAUAGCUUCCUUGGCUUGGCUUGGCUUGUGAAAUUCAUAUUGCUUGCAUGCUUGUGUGGAGAUUUCUUGGCUUUAACACAGAGAUGCUUUGCCAUUUUACAUCAUAUUCUUUGUUGGCAAUUCUUGUAGGGAUUCACGUAAUAAGUCACAAUGACUUCUGUGAUCAGUGAUGGCCUAUUUCCCCUU